rnacentral:rRNA from 1 species
CCGCGGUUAUACGAAAGACCCUAGUUGAUGAAUACGGCGUAAAGGGUGGUUAGGGACUACAAAAAAUAGAGCUAAAGAUCCUCUAGGUCGUCAUACACAUCACGAGGAAACGAAACCCAAACACGAAAGUAACUCUAAACAAACCCUGAUGCCACGAAAGCCAAGAAACAA